GGUUCCAUCGUGUAGUGGCGAGCGCUCUGGACUCUAAAUCCAGCGAUCCAGGUUCAGAUCUCGGUGGAACAU
rnacentral:tRNA from 1 species